CAAAGGCUGUCCGGACAUGCUGGGAGUUGUAGUUUUGCAACAGCUGGAGGCACACUAGUUGGGAAAAAAUGGUGUACUGCACCAGGCGAGGCGAGAAGCAAGGGGAAUGCAACUUUACUUGCAAAAAUUUCAGUCACAGCAUGGAAAGGUAACAUUUACAUUGUGAAAAAUCCCAGAACCCUGAUGAAAACCUGAAGAAUAUGUCUCAAGCCAAUGUUUGAAAGUGGAUCCAUUAUAGUCCUGUUGAUAAUAGAAGACUUGAUACCGGAGUAAAAAUAACAUACCUGGUGUAAGAAUCACUAUUGCCGACAUAAGAGCAUAUUCUUCCUCAACCAUUUUCAUUUCUCCAAGACUUUUGUAAAAAUUAAACAUUGGAUUAACGUAUUCAUGAGAUAUGCCUGCAAAAAAAAAAAG